GGCAAAAUAUAUCGACCUAACAAUAGUGUUGGGAACAACGAACAGAAAGGGAAUAUAUGCCGUGGGAGUCAGCUCUCAACAACUUGGAAUUUUUCUACCUCAUGUUUGAUAGGAGUGAAGCCUAUGGGGAUAUGCAGGCUUACCUCAAAAACAAGUAGAACCACUUUACAUACUAUCUAGGGUAUCACUGACAACUGGAAAACAGUACACACUGGACAUAUGGACCAGUACAACCAAGUGAAUGCCAUUAGGAUGGCCUGUAGCACUGGAAUGACGAAGUGUCAGAAUCUGACUAAUGGCUGACCCUGUCAACAAUCCGUGAGUUCAGCGGGAUUUAAACACAAUUCAGAUACAUUUCUUGAUACCAUUAACCGUGAAUAUCAAUAUGUUUUUGCACCACUAGUUUAAGAUUAAAAGGUGUGAUGAUAGAUAGGAUAUUCCAUGCUUAAAUGUUGAAAUAUUUUAUUUCCUAUUAGAAUACACCCCAACUUGAGGAUGACAGUGUACUGCAUUGCUAUCAGUGCGGGGUGGGGGGGCUGCAGAGUGGGAAUUUGGUUGGGAGCAGUUUGAGGCUGCCAGUAUCGCUACUCAGGCAGACAAGCUUUGAUCUGCCCUGACCUGUACAAAGCAGCCCUGCUACUCAACAAAUGAGUUAAGAGUGCUAUGUAUCCAUGGCAUAUUGGUCAAAUGUGAUCUGUGAUUAUCCCUCCCCUAGGCAUCAGAGUAUUCAAUAAACAGCAAAGCAUUGAUUCUCUGCCUGGCAUAAAAAGGAGACAUUUUCAAGGAGUGCUUUAAAGAGACUUGUGUGUCUGACAUGAAUAUGAAGUUCUUCAAUGCCUCAUACUGUCUUUGUACCUCCUUUCACCAUUGAGGUACCUGGACUACAGCCUGGAUGCAACCAACAUCUGCAUCUGUUGUUGGCCAGUCUCUGGCCUGGGACUUUAUGAGAGACAGAUGGGGUUACAUCUUUACUCAGUACGGUGGUGGUUCUUUCUCCUUCUCCAUCUCCAAUCUCAUCGAUGGUGUGACCAAGAGGUUUUCAACUGAAUUUGAGUUCUAACAGAUGGUAUUACAGAUUAGGGGAUUUGUCAGCACAUAUUGCUCAACAUGUUUGUAUUGGGGUACGAUGUGGACCCUAAAUAUAGAGAUUUCUAUAUUGUACAAUAUAAGUUAAUGUUUAUCUUCGCUGUCACAGCUCAUGCAGUUACAGGCAGACAACUGAGGUUGGCUUCGACUCGGGUAUCUUUGCAAUUUCACAGGCCAUUGAGCGGACAACAGCUAACAUCAAAUGGGUGGCAGAGAACAAGAACUGUGCAGGCAUGGUUUAAAGCAGAGACUGAUGCACCAUAAUGGUCACAUGGAGACACAAAACACCUGUCCAUUUAUUUAUUAUCUAAGACCAAUCCUAAAGCCAUGUUUCCUGUUAUUUUUUUGUCUCUCUAACAGUCAAUGACACUUUUUAUUCUAACGUUAUCCUGUCCCUUAAUCAGAAUACUAUGUCGGCCUAUACUUCUAUUUUUUGGAGAAAUAACUUUGUAUGCAUUAAAACAUUAUUUUUCUAUCAAAGAAUAACUUUCUAAAAUGCUGCAUUGCUAUUAAACACUGGUUUAUGACUGUGGAUUGUGGAAAUAAUGUGGAAUAAUGUGGAAAUAAUAAAUACAACUGUUUUACAAUGCA